AGCAGGCGAGAACCCUUAGCAAUGUGCGAAAGCACGACUGGGUUAGUCCGAGUGAUUCCUGAUAAAGGAUCUUUUGUCGGUUCUAAAAGCACCGACGAAUAAGGGGUGGGCAAGUCUGGUGUCAGCCGCCGCGGUAAUACCAGCACCUCGAGUGAUCAGGACGUUUAUUGGGCCUAAAGCAUCCGUAGCUGGCUUUGCAAGUCUCCGGUUAAAUCAACCUGCUUAACAGAUUGGCCGCUGGAGAUACUACAAGGCUAGGGAGUGGGAGAGGUAGACGGUAUUCGGGGGGUAGGGGUAAAAUCCUCUGAUCCUCUGAGGACCACCAGUGGCGAAGGCGGUCUACCAGAACACGUUCGACAGUGAGGGAUGAAAGCUGGGGGAGCAAACCGGAUUAGAUACCCGGGUAGUCCCAGCUGUAAACGAUGCAGACUCGGUGAAGCGUUGGUUUAUGGCCAACGCUGUGCCGCAGGGAAGCCGUUAAGUCUGCCGCCUGGGAAGUACGGUCGCAAGAUUGAAACUUAAAGGAAUUGGCGGGGGAGCACCACAAGGGGUGAAGCCUGCGGUUCAAUUGGAGUCAACGCCAGGAUCUUACCCGGGGACAGCAGAAUGAAGGUCAAGCUGAAGACUUACCAGACAAGCUGAGAGGAGGUGCAUGAC
rnacentral:rRNA from 1 species